UACAGGGGGUGCAAACGUUGCUCGGAAUCAUUGGGCGUAAAGCGCACGUAGGCGGCUUUGUAAGUCGGAUGUGAAAUCCCUCGGCUUAACCAAGGAAGUGCAUCCGAAACUGCGAGGCUUGAGUACUUAAGAGGAUCGCGGAAUUCCCGGUGUAGAGGUGAAAUUCGUAGAUAUCGGGAGGAACACCAGUGGCGAAGGCGGCGAUCUGGGAAGAUACUGACGCUGAGGUGCGAAAGCGUGGGGAGCAAACAGG
rnacentral:rRNA from 1 species